rnacentral:rRNA from 1 species
UAGGGAAUCUUCCACAAUGGACGAAAGUCUGAUGGAGCAACGCCGCGUGAGUGAAGAAGGUUUUCGGAUCGUAAAGCUCUGUUGUUGGUGAAGAAGGAUAGAGGCAGUAACUGGUCUUUAUUUGACGGUAAUCAACCAGCAAGUCACGGCUAACUACGUGCCUG